rnacentral:rRNA from 1 species
CAGGCCUAACACAUGCAAGUCGAGCGAGAUCUUCGGGUCUAGCGGCGGACGGGUGAGUAACGCGUGGGAACGUGCCCUUUUCUGCGGAAUAGCCUCGGGAAACUGAGAGUAAUACCGCAUACGCCCUUUUGGGGAAAGAUUUAUCGGAGAAGGAUCGGCCCGCGUUGGAUUAGGUAGUUGGUGGGGUAAUGGCCUACCAAGCCUUCGAUCCAUAGCUGGUUUGAGAGGAUGAUCAGCCGCACUGGGACUGAGACACGGCCCAGACUCCUACGGGAGGCAGCAGUGGGGAAUCUUAGACAAUGGGGGCAACCCUGAUCUAGCCAUGCCGCGUGAGUGAUGAAGGCCUUAGGGUUGUAAAGCUCUUUCAGCUGGGAAGAUAAUGACGGUACCAGCAGAAGAAGCCCCGGCUAACUCCGUGCCAGCAGCCGCGGUAAU